CUGUGCUCUCCUCUGCUGCAGCUCCUCUCACAGAGCCUCAGGGAUUUUCCAUCCUGCAUUGGCCAGGAAUCACCUGCAAGCUGUGAGGGAGACAAGCCUGAGGCAGAGUUUGCUCCUUGGGUUGAGCUUUAUCAAACUUGACACGCUUGGAUUUAAGGAACAAGUAUGACAGUGUCACAAGUCCAUGACUGACAGCAAUAAAAAAUGAAACAUGGG